GGGUUGUGAGGUUAAGCGACUAAGCGUACACGGUGGAUGCCCUGGCAGUCAGAGGCGAUGAAGGGCGUGCUAAUCUGCGAUAAGCGCCGGUAAGGUGAUAUGAACCGUUAUAACCGGCGAUACCCGAAUGGGGAAACCCAGUGUGACUCGUCACACUAUCAUUAACUGAAUCCAUAGGUUAAUGAGGCGAACCGGGGGAACUGAAACAUCUAAGUACCCCGAGGAAAAGAAAUCAACCGAGAUUCCCCCAGUAGCGGCGAGCGAACGGGGAGGAGCCCAGAGCCUGAAUCAGCAUGUGUGUUAGUGGAAGCGUCUGGAAAGGCGCGCGAUACAGGGUGACAGCCCCGUACACAAAAGCGCACAUGCUGUGAGCUCGAUGAGUAGGGCGGGACACGUGGUAUCCUGUCUGAAUAUGGGGGGACCAUCCUCCAAGGCUAAAUACUCCUGACUGACCGAUAGUGAACCAGUACCGUGAGGGAAAGGCGAAAAGAACCCCGGCGAGGGGAGUGAAAAAGAACCUGAAACCGUGUACGUACAAGCAGUGGGAGCACCCUUUGGGGUGUGACUGCGUACCUUUUGUAUAAUGGGUCAGCGACUUAUAUUCUGUAGCAAGGUUAACCGUAUAGGGGAGCCGGAGGGAAACCGAGUCUUAACCGGGCGUUAAGUUGCAGGGUAUAGACCCGAAACCCGGUGAUCUAGCCAUGGGCAGGUUGAAGGUUGGGUAACACUAACUGGAGGACCGAACCGACUAAUGUUGAAAAAUUAGCGGAUGACCUGUGGCUGGGGGUGAAAGGCCAAUCAAACCGGGAGAUAGCUGGUUCUCCCCGAAAGCUAUUUAGGUAGCGCCUCGUGAACUCAUCUCCGGGGGUAGAGCACUGUUUCGGCUAGGGGGCCAUCCCGGCUUACCAACCC
rnacentral:rRNA from 1 species